rnacentral:rRNA from 1 species
GGAAGAAUCUGGAGACGAGGUGCUGCAUGGCUGUCGUCAGCUCGUGUCGUGAGAUGGUUGGGUUAACGUCCGCAACGAGCGCAACCCUUGCCUUUAGUUGCCAGCAGUUCGGCUGGGCACUCUAAAGGGACUGCCGGUGUUAAACCGGAGGAAGGUGGGGAUGACGUCAAGUCCUCAUGGCCUUUAUGACCAGGGCUACACACGUACUACAAUGGCCGAUACAAAGGGCAGCGACACUGCGAGGUGAAGCCAAUCCCGUAAAAUCGGUCUCAGUCCGGAUUGGAGUCCGCAACUCGACUCCAUGAAGUUGGAAUCGCUAGUAAUCGUGGAUCAGCAUGCCACGGUGAAUACGUUCCCGGGCCUU